AGCUAGACAUCACGGAGCAAAUCCCAACUCUGCCACUUAGCAGCUAGAAGACCUUGACCAAGAUUCUCAAACACUAUGCUGGUGUUACACAGUCCUUUCAAACCUAAAAAUCAAUGUAAUAAUUUGAAAUAACAUGGUGAAGAAAUGAAAUAUAUUAGAUGCUAAUACUGAAAAGUUCCAUGGGGGCUUCCCUGGUGGCGCAGUGGUUAAGAAGCCGCCUGCCAACGCAGGGGACACGGGUUCAAGUCCUGGUUUGGGAAGAUCCCACAUGCUGAAGAGCAACUAAACCCAUGCGCCACAAUUACUGAGCCUGCGUGCCACAACUACUGAAGCCUGCAUGCCUAGAGCCCAUCCUCCGCAACAAGAGAAGCCACCACAAUGAGAAGCCUGCGCACUGCAAUGAAGAGUAGCCCCUUCUCGCUGCAACUAGAGAAAGUCCGUGUGCAGCAAUGAAGACCCAACACAGCCCCCCCAAAAAAAGUUUCAUAUCAAAGAAGUAGAAAUGAAGAACUAGUAAUUACCAGAUGGCCAGAUCUCUUCCCUAGCAUCGCCUUCAGUAAUCUCGUGAGCAAACUGUAUGAACAAAACAGCAUCUAAGGGAAGAUCACGAGUUGACAAGCCUGCGAGCGUACAGUGGGGGAUGAAGAGGACUUUGACCCCUUAUCCCAAUGAUUAACUGAGAUUACUUCCCUGUUUCCCUUUAAAAGCUUUCAAGGCUGAGCAGAUUCUUUGGAGGUGGUUUUUGGGAGAUACUGAAUCCACCCCUUCCCAGAUUGCUGGCAUUGUGAUUAAAGGCAACUUUCCUUUCUA